rnacentral:rRNA from 1 species
AUUGAACGCUGUCGGCGGGCCUAACACAUGCAAGUCGAACGAGUGGCGGACGGGUGAAUAAUGUCUGGGAAACUGCCUGAUGGAGGGGGAUAACUACUGGAAACGGAGGCUAAUACCGCAUACCAUCAAAUUUGCCCAGGUUGGAUGCGCUUGUUGGUGGGGUAACGGCUCACCAAGGCCACGAUCCAUACCUGGUCUGAGAGGAUGACCAGCCACACUGGAACUGAGACACGGUCCAGACUCCUACGGGAGGCAGCAGUGGGGAAUAUUGCGCAAUGGGCGAAAGCCUGAUGCAGCCACGCCGCGUGUAUGAAGAAGGCCUUCGGGUUGUAAAGCACUUUCAGCGGGGAGGCGUUACCUGAACAAGAAGCACCGGCUAACUCCGUGCCAGCAGCCGCGGUAAUUC